AUUGAACGCUGGCGGCAUGCCUUACACAUGCAAGUCGAACGGCAGCAUGAUCUAGCUUGCUAGAUUGAUGGCGAGUGGCGAACGGGUGAGUAAUACAUCGGAACGUGCCCUGUAGUGGGGGAUAACUAGUCGAAAGAUUAGCUAAUACCGCAUACGACCUGAGGGUGAAAGUGGGGGACCGCAAGGCCUCAUGCUAUAGGAGCGGCCGAUGUCUGAUUAGCUAGUUGGUGAGGUAAAGGCUCACCAAGGCGACGAUCAGUAGCUGGUCUGAGAGGACGAUCAGCCACACUGGGACUGAGACACGGCCCAGACUCCUACGGGAGGCAGCAGUGGGGAAUUUUGGACAAUGGGGGCAACCCUGAUCCAGCAAUGCCGCGUGUGUGAAGAAGGCCUUCGGGUUGUAAAGCACUUUUGUCCGGAAAGAAAUCGCACUUACUAAUAUUAGGUGUGGAUGACGGUAUCGGAAGAAUAAGGACCGGCUAACUACAUGCCAGCAGCCGCCGUAAGAC
rnacentral:rRNA from 1 species